UGACACACAAUUAAACAAACAUGAAAACAAUUUUAAAUCAUACUUGGUGGUGGAACUUUCGAAACUCGAACUUCGUGAAGUAACCCUUUUGUAUAUUUAAACCAUAAUAUUAAGGCUUGUC
rfam:Xanthomarina gelatinilytica strain AK20 contig13, whole genome shotgun sequence.